UACGGGGGGGGCAAGCGUUGUCCGGAAUCAUUGGGCGUAAAGAGCGUGUAGGCGGCCAGGUAGGUCUGCUGUGAAAACUCGAGGCUCAACCUCGAGACGUCGGCGGAAACCAUCUGGCUAGAGUCCGGAAGAGGAGAGUGGAAUUCCCGGUGUAGCGGUGAAAUGCGCAGAUAUCGGGAAGAACACCCGUGGCGAAGGCGGUUCUCUGGGACGGUACUGACGCUGAGACGCGAAAGCGUGGGGAGCGAACAGG
rnacentral:rRNA from 1 species